rnacentral:rRNA from 1 species
UACGGGGGGGGCAAGCGUUGUUCGGAAUUACUGGGCGUAAAGGGCGCGUAGGCGGCCUUCUAAGUCGAACGUGAAAUCCCCGGGCUCAACCCGGGAACUGCGUCCGAUACUGGAAGGCUUGAAUCCGGGAGAGGGAUGCGGAAUUCCAGGUGUAGCGGUGAAAUGCGUAGAUAUCUGGAGGAACACCGGUGGCGAAGGCGGCAGCCUGGACCGGCAUUGACGCUGAGGCGCGAAAGCCAGGGGAGCAAACGGG